CUAUUUUUGUUAUACCCAAGCUUCAUUCCAGGUAAAUAGGUAUGGGAAGGAAAAUCGAAGCUCUGCCACAAGAUAUUUGAGUUUUCAUCUCUUAAAACAAGGUUUCCCGAAUCGAAUAGCGUGGCACUUGCAUUGCCAUUAGAUGACAUGUUGGAUACCUAGUAAGACAACUGACCGUCCACAAUCACAAGGUUCCCAUCAUUGCUAAUAGUGAGAACUGCAGAAGAACUGACAACUGGGUAAUUUCGGUUGCAAUACCUAGGGUAUUGCACGGUGUGCAAUUGCUUUAAUCCUAGCCAUUCAAUUGAUCUAAUGCUCAAGAAUUGGACAGCUCAAUUAGACACGUCAGCGAUCCGUGUGAGCCCUCAUUUUUCUCUACUCUUUCAAUUUCUCCUCUCUCUCUUCUUCACGCUUGCCCCUAUUCAAAAAUUUCAGAAACUCUCUCCAACUCUCUUCCAGCCGAACAUGCCUCAGAAUCUCUCUCUCUCUCAUGCCUCAAAAAAAAGCCACCAGUGAUGCUCCGAUUACCUCUCCACUGAAGAAUGAAUGUGAACCAACAGUGUUUCAGCUACCCACCCAAAUGUGAUUAGAUCUGAUUUGCAAUUUUCAGGGAGAUUCAUCAAGUUGAUAAAUGUUCUGAGCUACUCUCCAAAUGGGUUGAUUCCAAUAACUUUCUGCUCACAAAAGAGAUGUGAAUUGAGGCAAGGAACAAGGUGCAGGAAAUCUCUCAAGUUUACCAUGCCAUCAAGGAGGGAUUAGAUUUUUGACCCCUUGGAAUGACAGUCAAGGAGGUCUUUGUGUAGUUUAACACAAACCAUCACAAUGGAAUACCAUUGUAGUUAAUAACUUUUUUUUCAAUUUCAAAUUUUCAAUUGGCUAAUUCCAAAAGCAAUUUUGGUUCUAGGGAAUGCAAGAAUCAGUUGAUGGCUUUAUUUUGAUGAAUAUAUGUAAUGUAUACAACUCUGUUUUGCGAAUAACAUGUAGUGAAGGAGUUCUGUUACUAGCUUUUUAGGCCUUAAAUGUAUUUCAAAAAUUUUAUC